rnacentral:rRNA from 1 species
UACAGAGGUCCCAAGCGUUGUUCGGAUUCACUGGGCGUAAAGGGUGCGUAGGCGGCCGGGUAAGUCUGACGUGAAAUCUUCAAGCUCAACUUGGAAACUGCGUCGGAUACUAUUCGGCUAGAGGAAUGGAGGGGAGACUGGAAUACUUGGUGUAGCAGUGAAAUGCGUAGAUAUCAAGUGGAACACCAGUGGCGAAGGCGGCAUCCUGGACCGACAUUGACGCUGAGGCGCGAAAGCCAGGGGAGCAAACGGG